rnacentral:snRNA from 1 species
CUCCUUGCUUCGGCAGGACUUAUACUUAAAUUGGACGAUACAGAGAAGAUUAGCAUGGACAUUACAAAAACAGAAAAUUGUUAAUCAUAAUCAGAAAUAUAAUGAG